GUCUUUACCGCAAAUAACACUGAAAUAUAUACAGGGCUGAUGCGAUCCCAAAAGCCCUCAAAGGAAAUCUCUACAUUUGUGUGUUUGGGUUUGAUAAAGUUGAAGAGUUGGAACGGUCUCAGUGCACUCAGUGUUUACUUGGCUGCUAUUAUCUUUUAUUUGUAGUCUGAUGUUGUCGCUUGGCGAGGAAUAAAUGAGCUCUGAACCAGAAAUGUGUUUGUGCAUGAGUAUGAGGGACUUCACAUGUGCAUAAAUACAAUAAAUAUGCAGGUGGGCAUCACGAAUGCCGACAAACACUCUCUCUCUAUAUUUUAUUUAUUUAUUAGUGAAAAUGUAAAAAAAAAGGGAUAAAUAGCUUGGAACAAUGGACGUCUAUUAGCUGUGCAGAACAUGAACACAAAUCCACUAUGUGACUGCGCACGUCUGAGAAUCAGACUCACUCGUCAGUGCAUUUGAAUAUGCAAAUGCCCCCCAUACAAAAGACCUUGACAAGCUGUUAUUAUGUGAUUCCAGUGGUUGCAGAUAGAGGCUGAAAGGAUAUUAGAGGACGGAGAACAACAGAGGCGAGGCUGCAGACGAAUGCCCGGGCCACGUUCGCAGAGUCUGAUGCUUCCAGCAGCGGGGGGAGAAAAAGAAACGAGAAGGAAGAAGAUGGGACGAGAAGAGCGAUGGAAUCUAAAGGUGGAGGAGGUGAGGAGUCGGGAUUAAACCGAGGAUGUAUGGGG